UACAGAGGUCUCAAGCGUUGUUCGGAUUCAUUGGGCGUAAAGGGUGCGUAGGUGGCGGGGUAAGUCAGGUGUGAAAUCUCGGAGCUCAACUCCGAAACUGCACUUGAUACUGCCUUGCUCGAGUACUGGAGAGGAGAUUGGAAUUUACGGUGUAGCAGUGAAAUGCGUAGAUAUCGUAAGGAAGACCAGUGGCGAAGGCGGGUCUCUGGACAGUUCCUGACGCUGAGGCACGAAGGCCAGGGGAGCAAACGGG
rnacentral:rRNA from 1 species